UACAGAGGGUGCGAGCGUUGUCCGGAAUCACUGGGCGUAAAGGGCGCGUAGGUGGCGACCCAAGUCGAUGGUGAAAGCUCGCCGCUCAACGGCGAGUCGGCCACCGAUACUGGGUUGCUUGAGCACUGUAGAGGCUAAUGGAAUUCCGGGUGUAGCGGUGGAAUGCGUAGAGAUCCGGAAGAACACCGGUGGCGAAGGCGGCCUGCUGGGCAGUUUAGCUGACACUGAGGCGCGACAGCGUGGGGAGCAAACAGG
rnacentral:rRNA from 1 species